rfam:Nicotiana attenuata strain TT chromosome 5, whole genome shotgun sequence.
AUACCUUUCUCGGCCUUUUGGCUAAGAUCAAGUGUAGUAUCUGUUCUUAUCAGUUUAAUAUCUGAUAUGUGGGCCAUCGGCUCACACGAUAUUAACUUAAUUUCUUAAGGGGAAGAGUCCAUUAAGUUAGCUUGCUGCCUAGGCUCUUGAGCGUCGCCCAUGCGUUGCACUACUGCACGGGCUUGGCGCACCCCAC